GACGAACGCUGGCGGCGUGCUUAACACAUGCAAGUCGAACGGAAAGGCCCUGCUUUUGUGGGGUGCUCGAGUGGCGAACGGGUGAGUAACACGUGAGUAACCUGCCCUUGACUUUGGGAUAACUUCAGGAAACUGGGGCUAAUACCGGAUAGGAGCUCCUGCUGCAUGGUGGGGGUUGGAAAGUUUCGGCGGUUGGGGAUGGACUCGCGGCUUAUCAGCUUGUUGGUGGGGUAGUGGCUUACCAAGGCUUGGACGGGUAGCCGGCCUGAGAGGGUGACCGGCCACAUUGGGACUGAGAUGCGGCCCAGACUCCUACGGGAGGCAGCAGUGGGGAAUAGUGCACAAGGGGCGGAAGCCUGAUGCAGCAACGCCGCGUGCGGGAUGACGGCCUUCGGGUUGUAAACCGCUUUCGCCUGUGACGAAGCGUGAGUGACGGUAAUGGGUAAAGAAGCACCGGCUAACUACGUG
rnacentral:rRNA from 1 species